UGGGAGCCUAACUCGUGCAGAAGUUAAAGAUAUCGUUGUACUACUUGUACUCUAGUUCGAUUUGUGGAUUUUUGGAAGUUUUCCUGUGGUAGAGGGUGUCUAAUUCUACGAGUUGGAUGGCUGUAUGAACGCCUGGCACGCCGACGCGACGCAGGGUGGAUCGAGCUGAAUUCACGGUUCAACUGGUUGAGUUCAUAAUGAAUUGAUUCACCACCCUGCUCGCCGAAAAAGCCUGAAGGAAACUUCCGUUCCCGGAUGAAAUCUGAAGUCUGUGCCUGAGGUAUUUUCAUGACCACGGUUGGCUGAAA